ACUUUUUUAAUUAUAAUUAAUUAGAGUAUUGCUUUCAUACGGCGGGAGUCAUUGGUUCAAAUCCAAUAAUAGGUA
rnacentral:tRNA from 1 species